CCAUCUCCUCUAAACCUUCUGGCUUCUAAAUCACUCAGGCUCCCUUGUCUCCCCGGGACUCCAUCGGCACCUCUUCAAACCUCUCCUGUUUUCCUCUCUCCUUCUGCUCCCGCCCAGCCCAUGUUGCAUUCCUUUCCUCUUAGCUUUUAGGACCCAGCCCUUCUGCUCGACUCCUUUCUGGAGAAAAGAAGGACGAGAGGAGGCUGAGGGCAGAGCUGAGAUGCCUGCAGGCUGCAUGCGGAGACCCUCGGGUUGCCAUCUCCUGCACAGCAGCGCAGAAUCAGAAGGGCCACCUACUGCAAUGGGGGCAGCGAGGGGCCACCUCACACUCCUCCUGUAUAAUAUUUUGUCAUUGGUGGGAUGGUCCCAGGCUCUGGGAUUGAAGUCUUUACCGGGCUGUGACCACACCCCUUGUCGAUGGCCUGGGGUUUUCAGCCCAAAGCUGAGCCAAGCCCUUGGAAAAAUCCGCAGCCACACCUGUUGCUCUCGAGAAGUCUUUUUUUUCUUUGUAGGUGUGGCCCUUCCAUCUUGAGGUCACAGGGGAACUGAGGCUGGAGGGAGAGGGACCAGGAUGCCGCAGGAAUCACCCAGCCAGCCCACUCAUAGCCUGGCCGCUUUUCAGGAGUGAUUUCUUCAGCUUCUUUCCCUCCAUAGACACAAGAAGCCACCCACACUCACCUGACCAGCCGGAACCCAGGGGAGCCGGCCUUAAUCCUGGCUUCCCUGCGGCUCAAAAGAAUCUGGAUCACAACAGGAUGCCAGAGAAGAGGUGGCCACGAGACCCCAGCAGCGUUGUUCUCAUUACGGGGUCUCCUCAGCCGAGAUCCCUCACUCUCUUCUGGCAUUCUUCUGGUUUCCUCACUGACGUCAUCAAAAUUUGUAUUCACUCAUGUAAUAAAUAUUUAUUGAGAAUGUG